ACUCAAAGGAAUAGACGGGGACCCGCACAAGCGGUGGAGUAUGUGGUUUAAUUCGAAGCAACGCGCAGAACCUUACCUACCCUUAACAUCCCGUGCUACAUGCAGAGAUGCAUGGUUCCCUUCGGGGACGCGGAGAUAGGUGCUGCAUGGCUGUCGUCAGCUCGUGUCGUAGGAUGUUCGGUUAAGUCCGAUAACGAGCGCAACCCUUAUCCUUAGUUACCAGCAUUAAGUUGGGUACUCUAGGGAGACUGCCGGUGUUAAACCGGAGGAAGGCGGGGAUGACGUCAAGUCCUCAUGGCCCUUACGGGUAGGGCUACACACGUACUACAAUGGCAGAAACAAACCGUUGCGAUACCGCGAGGUGGAGCUAAUCGGUAAAACACUGUCUCAGUUCGGAUUGGAGUCUGCAACUCGACUUCAUGAAGCUGGAAUCGCUAGUAAUCGCUGAUCAGCAAGCAGCGGUGAAUACGUUCCCGGGUCUUGUACACACCGCCCGU
rnacentral:rRNA from 1 species